GACGAACGCUGGCGGCGUGCUUAACACAUGCAAGUCGAACGGAAAGGCAUUGCUUUUGUGGGGUGCUCGAGUGGCGAACGGGUGAGUACCUAGUGAGUAACCUGCCCUUGACUUUGGGAUAACUUCAGGAAACUGGGGCUAAUUCCGGCUAGGAGCUCCUGCUGCACGGUGGGGGUUGGAAAGUUUCGGCGGUUGGGGUUGGUAUCGCGGCUUAUCAGCUUGUUGGUGGGGUAGUGGCUUACCAUGGCUUUGACGGGUCGCAGGACUGAGAGGGUGACCGGCCACAGUGGGCCUGAGGUACGACCAGUACGCCUACGGGAGGCAGCAGUGGAAGACAGUGGACGAUGGGCGGAAGCCUGAUGCAGCAACUCCGCGUGCGGAAGGACGGCCUUCGGGGUGUAAACCUCUUUCUCCGGAGACGUAGCGGAAUUGACGGUAAUGGGAUAAAAAGCACCGGCUAACUACGUG
rnacentral:rRNA from 1 species